CCUACGGGCGGCAGCAGUGGGGAAUAUUGGACAAUGGGGGCAACCCUGAUCCAGCCAUGCCGCGUGUGUGAAGAAGGCCCUCGGGUUGUAAAGCACUUUCAGUGAGGAAGAACGCCUGGUGGUUAAUACCCAUCAGGAAAGACAUCACUCACAGAAGAAGCACCGGCUAACUCCGUGCCAGCAGCCGCGGUAAUACGGAGGGUGCGAGCGUUAAUCGGAAUUACUGGGCGUAAAGCGCGCGUAGGUGGCUUGAUAAGCCGGUUGUGAAAGCCCCGGGCUCAACCUGGGAACGGCAUCCGGACCUUGCAAGAGAGAGUGAAGGAGAGGAAGGUAGAAUUCCCGGUGUAGCGGCGAAAGGCGUAGAGACCGGGAGGAAUACCCGUGACGAAGGCGGCCUUCUGGACUGACACUGACAGUGGGGUGCGAAAGUGUGGGUAGCAAACAGGAUUAGAUACACGAGUAGGC
rnacentral:rRNA from 1 species